UACAGAGACUGCGAGCGUUAUUCGGAUUCACUGGGCGUAAAGGGUGCGCAGGCGGCCGAGUGUGUGAGGCGUGAAAGCCCGGGGCUUAACCCCGGAAUUGCACCUCAAACUACACGGCUAGAGCAUUGGAGAGGGUAGCAGAAUUCACGGUGUAGCAGUGAAAUGCGUAGAUAUCAAGAGGAACACCUGAGGUGAAGACGGGUUGCUGGGCUGACACUGACGCUGAGGCGCGAAAGCCAGGGGAGCAAACGGG
rnacentral:rRNA from 1 species